AUUGAACGCUGGCGGCAUGCCUUACACAUGCAAGUCGAGCGGCAGCAUGAUCUAGCUUUCUAGAUUGAUGGCGAGUGGCACACGGGUGUGUAAUACAUGGGAACUGGCCCUGUGGGGGGGGAUAACUAGGCGAAAGAUUAGCUAAUACCGCUUACGACCUGAGACUGAAGUUGGAGGACCGCAAGACCUAAUUCUAUAAGACCAACCGAUGUCUGAUUAGCUAGUUGUUGAGGUAAAGGCUCACCAAGGCGACGAUCAGUAGCUGUUCUGGAAGGGCGAGGAGCCAAACUGGGCUUGAGAAACGGCCCAGAUUCCUAGGGGAGGCAGCAGUGGGGAAUUUUGGACAAAGGGGGAAAGCCUGAUCCAGCACUGCCGCGUGUGUGAAGAAGGCCUUCGGGUUGUAAAGCACUUUUGUCCGGAAAGAAAUGGCUCUGGUUAAUAACUGGGGUAGAUGACGGUACCGGAAGAAUAAGGACCGGCUAACUACGUG
rnacentral:rRNA from 1 species